ACCCGAGCCCCAGACCAAGGCCGAGCAGUGCCUGGCGGGGCGUGUUGACGUGUGUGUGUGUGUGUGUUGGUGAGCAGCGUUCAUUGCAAGGUGUGUUCCUCCAUAUUUACCGCAUAAAAUGAAGACAAAGAUUCUUGUGUUGCCCUGUAAUGUGUUGUUCUAUGGCUGUGUUGUUGUCAGUGCUAAGAGGCUGGGGGAGGGAGAGGCUUAGUGAAGCAGACUAUGGUGAUGCCAAGGUUAUUUACUUUGUUGAAUCUCGUCGACUACGGACACAGCUGAGGUGGACCUCCGCUGCUUCCCACUGGCUCCUCUCCUCUUGCUGAAGGGAAACAACAAAGGAGAAGGGAGGAACAUGCCAUCCCAACCCCCAGGCAGUACAGAGUGUGAUUAUACAACUAGUAAUACAUGUGGAGGCAGUACCAAGAAACGAUAAAGACACAAUGGCAGGAAUGAAUGCACAACAAGGGAGGGGGGCGGUACCUGCCGGCCUCCCCCUGGGCAAUGAUGAUGUGUUGUCUGUGGCAGUGUUCACCCACGAGGCGCCCCAGCUGGUGAUGCUGUGCCGGGUGUGUUGUUCCCUGAGCAGUAAUUAUGCUGUGCUCCAGCACUGGUGGCAGUGCUUCCAGAUGGUCAUCCUCAGAGCACCACAUUCAUCAGAGUCGGCCCCAAAACCUUCAUGGGCACUCCAGUAAUGAGGUCCAAUCAAACCACCAUCCAGGCCCCUCAAGAAAGCCUACUGCCGCUAUAGGCUGGCACAUAAAAAAAUAAAUAAAUAAAUAAAUAAAUAAAAUGAAUAAUAAUAGUAAUGAUAACUGUUAGGUAAUGUGCCGUGGGUUAUGGUUAAACUGAGAUUGGAGUGGCUGCACCUUGCAGGGACUUGGUACCUUAUUGUAUUUGUUUAUUUAUUGUCUCCAUAUCCAUAUUUGUCCAGGUUUCUUAAGUUUCCACAAGCUCUUUGCCUCCAUCACCUUUUCUCUUAAGUCAUUCCCAGUGUUUAUGUUUCUCCUUGGAAAGCUGUAGUCCUUAGUAUCAUGACGACAUGUUCCCUUCCUCAUGUUUUCCUGUGACUUCCUAGCUCUGCCUUCCCUUCCCUUGUCAGUAAUAGGUCUUUAUCACCUGAUUCCUGCAAGUCACUCAUUGGUUCACAUCCUGCAGUCAGACCUUCUCUCUCCCCUUUUAUAGAAGUGAAUGUAUUGAUAUUUUAUGUGAGUGUAAGGAAGUGACCCUUUGUGUUUUGUGCAGGCAUUACCCGGUGGGCGUGCUGCUUGACCUCCCCUGACCCGGAACCUCACGGCACACUUCCCAGAACAGGACCUCAUCCACUAACCCUCAAGGCAUUACCUGGGGGGCAUGCUGCUUGACCUCCCUUGCAGGGUCGCCUUGCUGCCCUGGAACCUCCCGGCACACUUCUCACACUUCCCAGAACAGAAUCUCAUCCACUGCCCCUCAAGAGGUUGUUGAGUCACUCUUCACGUCCUCCCUGAAGGAAGCCGGCGGCCUGAAGCACCGCGGGCAGGUCACCACCACCAGCCUGCAGGCCAGGGACCACAAACACCUCUGGAUGGGACUCUGGAAUGGCAGGCUUCACUGUGGCUUCACUAAGGUCUCCUCACUCUUAUAUAUACUCAAUUUUGCAUCAGUACACAUGUCAUCGUCAUUGUCAUAUAUUGGUCGGUAUUAUCAAACGCUUUCGUCCAUCACAUCAACUGUUUCCAAAGGCCAAACAGGAGAUAAAUUGGGUUCUCAUGAGUGCUCUUUUAGGUUCAUGGUACAGAAGAAGGGUCAAACUACCACCAGGGUCAUAAAACUGUCCUUGGAAAUGCCCAAAAUGCCUAUGAAAGCCUUGCCAAGUAUGUGUGCUUGGGUGCCAAAAUGUUGAGUUAUACAUCCCAUUAUUUCUCUGCUAUAGGAUGUAGGUCUUUCACAACUCUUUUUGGCAGCUCUUCUAUACUUUAUUUUAUUGGAGCAGAGAUUAGUGUUUUUUUCCCCCUGGAGUUGCUUCCUUUAAUGAAAACAAAGUCCAUUUGUCUCUGUGUCUGAUGUUAAUACACUUCAUCCUGCCCCACAAAGCUUCUAAUUUCACGUCCUGCUUCUCUGUCUGCCCUGACUUACACGCUGGCUGGGUGCUUUGGUUCCUCAGCUGUUGUGAGGUGCAUGAGAUGAAGUGCACAAGUCCAAGCCUCACCUUUCAUAGGCACCAGGACACCUUUAACCUUUGUCUGUUCCCUGGUCCAGGACACUCAAGGCCUGUCUCCCCAUGUUGUGCCUGGCAUUCUUCUCCAUUCAGCUUGGCACAUUUCUUAACUUCUCUCUGGAUCUUGUGUGAGGUGCAGAGUUUAUGAAGCACAUUUUGGGGCUGGGAAUAUGCACAGACUGCACCCUUCUCCUCAGGGAGAGGGGCAGGUUUAUAGUCAUAAUAAUACAAUGUUUACCAAAAUUGUUCCAUUCCAUUUCUCUCCUGAUUUCUUAUUCAUUUUGUAGGCCUGGUUUGCAGUAAUUAGGUAAAGUUUGGGGCACAUGUUACAAGUGGGCCUGGCUGUGGUGCUCAUCUCCAUCCCUCUGGCCCUUGAGCCAGCACCGGGCAAGGACCCUUCAGCCCCAGGACAUGGCCACUACAGUAUCUGGGUCACCACAGCUGCCUUGCCCAGGCUCCCUUUUAUAGACCAACCCAAACGGAAGGAUGAACAGCUGGGUGGGUCGUCACUAUAACCCAGACCGGUGUGUUCAUAGCUAGCCGUCAACCUCUCCACCAAGGGAGCACACUGGUUGCUGUGUGUGUCUACUCUUUCAAAGCAAACACUGCCUGGGUCACUGUAACAGCAGCCUGCCCCUGUCCCUGCAGAGGAAGGUGUUCCGUCAGUGUAACAGGAGAAAGCUGAAAAUCAACCGCACGUGCAAGACAUGCCAGGCUCUGAUGUCCAGUGUGGAGGAGAUCGGAAUUCCUAUCAUGAGG